rnacentral:lncRNA from 1 species
AUGUCCAUACUUCUGAAAGCAAUUUAUAGAUUUAAUGCAAUACCAAUCUGUCGCUCCCCCUUUUCAUGGAGGAGCAACACUAAACCCUGCCUAGGUUUCCUAUCCGAGUCACGGCACCAUUAUGUCGCUCCCCAUCUUCGUGGAGGAACGACACAGGACCCUGCGCUGUUCUUUUGUCUGCUCGGCCCUUCCCGGGUUUGCUGUUGCUUCUUCCUGGCUUGGCUACCGACCCUUCCACCUCCGUGGAAGGGCGGUUCCCCCUGCCACUUUCCCCACUUCCGUGGGGGAGCGGCACACCGCCGGCCGGCUCUCUCGGGGGCUGCUCAGGUGUUCCUCAGGUGUUCCUGGUGCAUGUUGUCUCUCUCCUCCUUUAUAGUCCUCUUCUACCAAUCCCAAGUCUGCUACCCACAUGCCGAGUACGCUGCUCUCCUCCAAUCAGGAGCAGGUCCUGCUGUUUAUUGGUUGAACUGGAGGCAGCUGCGUAGAAGCUGUUUCCUCCUCUCCCAGCGCCAUAUUGUGGGAGAGCAGAUGCAUAGAAUAAAUCUUAAUUUGAGUAACAGUCUAGUCCCAGUUGCUCCCCACAGAUCCCCCUUUCUUUUUAUUUUUGGUGUUGAUACGCGCCUGUCUUCGGUGCCCCGCGGCACACACUCUGCUCUGCUUGCUGGAGUUGCCCACAGGUGCUUAGAAGCCCUACCAAUCAGGCAAACCGAAUCCGGGUCCUCUCUUUGCCAUGUUGUGAGGAGGUUUUUAGGCGCUGAUGCGUGCCUGUGUUCGGUGCCCUGCAGCGCAUGCUCUGCUCUGCUAGAACUGCCUGCAGGUGCUUACAAGCCCUACCAAGCAGGCAAACCGAAUCCAAGCCUUCUCACUGCCAUCUUGUGGGGAGACUUAUUGGUGUUGAUAACGUACCUGUCUUCGGUGACCUGCAGCCGCCCACAGGUGCUUAUCGUCUUACUAAUCAGGCAGACUGAAUCCAAGCCCUCUCAUUGCCAUGUUGUGGGGAGGCCUUAUUUUUCUCUAUUUCUCUACCUCCGGGCAUUCCUAUCUCUCCUAUUUUACUUCUAUCUGCCAGCAUUCCUAUUUCUCUCAUUUUACUUCUAA